rfam:Myotis davidii contig304579, whole genome shotgun sequence.
AGGUUGUUAGCUUAAUGGUAUAGUAUUCGGCUUUUAACCGAAAGAAUCUGGGUUCGAUUCCCAUACAACCUA